UUUGACUACAGAUGGCACUGAUAUAUUGCCGAUAUAUGGGCUACCGAAUCCAGGAUUCGUCGCGUGGUCGCCGCCUAUAAGCGGCGCUCGUACCCACAGGUCAUCUCGCGGGCGCCGCCUAUAAGCGGCACUCGAAGCGAAAGGGUUAAUGUAUGC